rnacentral:tRNA from 1 species
GCCGCUUUCGUCUAGUGGUUAGGACACAGCGUUCUCAACGCUGUAACACCGGUUCGACUCCGGUAAGCGGCA